rnacentral:rRNA from 1 species
CCCAAAGUCAUGGUUAAGUGGGAAACGAUGUGGGAAGGCCCAGACAGCCAGGAUGUUGGCUUAGAAGCAGCCAUCAUUUAAAGAAAGCGUAAUAGCUCACUGGUCGAGUCGGCCUGCGCGGAAGAUGUAACGGGGCUAAACCAUGCACCGAAGCUGCGGCAGCGAUGCUUAUGCGUUGUUGGGUAGGGGAGCGUUCUGUAAGCCUGCGAAGGUGUGCUGUGAGGCAUGCUGGAGGUAUCAGAAGUGCGAAUGCUGACAUAAGUAACGAUAAAGCGGGUGAAAAGCCCGCUCGCCGGAAGACCAAGGGUUCCUGUCCAACGUUAAUCGGGGCAGGGUGAGUCGACCCCUAAGGCGAGGCCGAAAGGCGUAGUCGAUGGGAAACAGGUUAAUAUUCCUGUACUUGGUGUUACUGCGAAGGGGGGACGGAGAAGGCUAUGUUGGCCGGGCGACGGUUGUCCCGGUUUAAGCGUGUAGGCUGGUUUUCCAGGCAAAUCCGGAAAAUCAAGGCUGAGGCGUGAUGACGAGGCACUACGGUGCUGAAGCAACAAAUGCCCUGCUUCCAGGAAAAGCCUCUAAGCAUCAGGUAACAUCAAAUCGUACCCCAAACCGACACAGGUGGUCAGGUAGAGAAUACCAAGGCGCUUGAGAGAACUCGGGUGAAGGAACUAGGCAAAAUGGUGCCGUAACUUCGGGAGAAGGCACGCUGAUAUGUAGGUGAAGUCCCUCGCGGAUGGAGCUGAAAUCAGUCGAAGAUACCAGCUGGCUGCAACUGUUUAUUAAAAACACAGCACUGUGCAAACACGAAAGUGGACGUAUACGGUGUGACGCCUGCCCGGUGCCGGAAGGUUAAUUGAUGGGGUCAGCGCAAGCGAAGCUCUUGAUCGAAGCCCCGGUAAACGGCGGCCGUAACUAUAACGGUCCUAAGGUAGCGAAAUUCCUUGUCGGGUAAGUUCCGACCUGCACGAAUGGCGUAAUGAUGGCCAGGCUGUCUCCACCCGAGACUCAGUGAAAUUGAACUCGCUGUGAAGAUGCAGUGUACCCGCGGCAAGACGGAAAGACCCCGUGAACCUUUACUAUAGCUUGACACUGAACAUUGAGCCUUGAUGUGUAGGAUAGGUGGGAGGCUUUGAAGUGUGGACGCCAGUCUGCAUGGAGUCGACCUUGAAAUACCACCCUUUAAUGUUUGAUGUUCUAACGUGGACCCGUGAUCCGGGUUGCGGACAGUGUCUGGUGGGUAGUUUGACUGGGGCGGUCUCCUCCUAAAGAGUAA